AGUUUUUAGAGUUUUGUCCUGGCUUAGAGUGAUCGCUGGCGGCAGGCCUAACACAUUCAAGUCGAGCGGUAGAGAGGUGCUUGCACCUCUUGAGAGCGGCGGACGGGUGAGUAAUGCCUAGGAAUCUGCCUGGUAGUGGGGGAUAACGCUCGGAAACGGACGCUAAUACCGCAUACGUCCUACGGGAGAAAGCAGGGGACCUUCGGGCCUUGCGCUAUCAGAUGAGCCUAGGUCGGAUUAGCUAGUUGGUGAGGUAAUGGCUCACCAAGGCGACGAUCCGUAACUGGUCUGAGAGGAUGAUCAGUCACACUGGAAGUGAGACACGGUCCAGACUCCUACGGGAGGCAGCAGUGGGGAAUAUUGGACAAUGGGGGAAAGCCUGAUCCAGCCAUGCCGCGUGUGUGAAGAAGGUCUUCGGAUUGUAAAGCACUUUAAGUUGGGAGGAAGGGCCAUUACCUAAUACGUGAUGGUAUUGACGGUACCGACAGAAUAAGCACCGCUACC
rnacentral:rRNA from 1 species